GGAAAAUUGUACUUAGUAGUCAGUAUAAGCUUUUAAUGAUAUAAGUUUGCAUAUGAUAGAAUACUGUAUGUUGACCUUUUGAUGACUUAGACUGUUGUCCACUACAAGACUGUUUUAUAAAUUCUUUCUCACAGCGAUAAUAGCUGAACAAGCAGGAAGAGGAGAGCUGGACACUUUUAUCUGCGCUCUCUAACAAGAAGAAGGGCUGCGUCCUUCUGAAUCUCACAACACACACGCAUACAUCUGAACCACUCUUAUCUUCACUCCCUACGCACUAACAUUCCUCUGCCUAUGAAUAGAAGUAUUCACUGUUGUAUUACUUUUGUAUAUAAAUAAAGACAAGUGCAAGAACAGAGCGCGCAUCACAGGGCCCCCACUCUGGUGUGAGCGUUCUGUGACCACCCUUGUAUACAAGUGAAAAACACAGCGUCUGUGUGUGUUUCUACCCUUAGACUCUUAGCUGAAGAAGUGUCUUUAGAAUAAAUCUCUUGACAUUUAUUUUGGUCCUUCGAGCCGGAUCAGAAAUAUCAGAACUGUUAUCUGUGACUCUGUUCCAGGAUCUGGCAUACUGUUUCCUGACGCCGUGGAUCCAGCACCGAAGAGGCGAUAAUAGCUGAACAAGCAGGAAGAGGAGAGCUGGACACUUUUAUCUGCGCUCUCUAACAAGAAGAGGGGCUGCGUCCUUCUGAAUCUCACAACACACACGCAUACAUCUGAACCACUCUUAUCUUCACUCCCUACGCACUAACAUUCCUCUGCCUAUGAAUAGACGUAUUCACUGUUGUAUUACUUUUGUAUAUAAAUAAAGACAAGUGCAAGAACAGAGCGCGCAUCACAGGGCCCCCACUCUGGUGUGAGCGUUCUGUGAUCGCCCUUGUAUACAAGUGAAAAACACAGCGUCUGUGUGUGUUUCUACCCUUAGACUCUU
ensembl:lncRNA